CCUGACCUCAGGUGAUCCACCCGCUUUGGCUUCCCAAAGUGCUGGGACUACAGGUGUGAGCCACUGCGCCCAGCCAAGAUAGAAUCUUAUGCUCAGACAGAGUUUGGUUUGAAUCCCUGCUUUGCCACACGCAUGUUGCAUAAUCUUGGUUGGUGCUUAUCCUUUUGGAGUUUCAUUUCCCUCAUGUGCAUAAUGUAGAAAACAACAUCAACCGUAAAAAGAGGUUGAGAAAAAUAAUAUAUUUAAGAGGCUUCAGUACCUACCAUGUUUGGUACGAACUAAAUGCUUAGUGAAUGGGAGUUGCCAUUUUAUUAAUGCUAUUUAUAUGCUUCUCGAGAGGGUAUUGAAACGCCUGUGGUUGAAGUAAGAACCUGAAGAUAAAGGAGAGGGGACUCAUUAAUGGAGUAAAGUCCCCAAGAAGGCAGGGGAAGAUGAGAUCCAGAGCACAAGUAGAGAAAUUAACCCUAGAAAGAAGAGUGGAUUGCUGAUCUCCUUCACACCUAGCCCAAGUUUUUAAGACAUGUGGAUUGAGAAGUCUACGUUCAAAAAGUUCUUUUCUUCCAGGAGGAUGUCUGAGUAAGUGCCACAGAAUUAACAUUCUGUUAAUACUCU
rnacentral:lncRNA from 1 species